rnacentral:lncRNA from 1 species
CUCAACCCAAAAUAUCUGUUACACAUGACCUAUAUACAAUUAAUAUUAGGUCGGGUCAGACGGCUCAAUAACAAAAUAAAAACGGGCUCAGAUAUAUACAACCCAAACAACAAUCAUCACAGCCCAAUACAUUGUAUACCAUAAAAUACAAUAAAUAUAUAAUGUACGGGCUCAGAUAUAUACAACCCAAACAACAAUCAUCACAGCCCAAUACAUUGUAUACAAGAAAAUACAAUAAAUAUACAAUGUAUAUACAAUGUGUACAAUCAUUUGUAGUCUUUCAUCUCAACACCCCCCCUCAAGUUAGAGGGUCAAACCACCUGCAACUUGGACAACAGUGGAUGAAGCAUAGUGCCAGGCAAUGGCUUAGUGAGCAGGUCAGCCAGCUGAUGAGAAGUAGGAACAUGAAGCAGCUUGAGAAAACCAUUCUGUAGCAAGUCCCGAACAAAAUGGCAGUCCACCUCGAUAUGUUUGGUACGAUCAUGAAAAACAGGAUUGUUAGCUAUAUGGACAACAGCCUGACUGUCACAAUAUAUAGAAAAAGGAAGAGAAACAGAUACCCAAAGAUCAACCAACAAACGAGAAAGCCAAGAUAAUUCAGCAACAACUUUUGCUGAGGGCUCUAUAUUCUGCCUAAGCAGAAGACAAAGAAACAACAGGUUGCUUCUUACAUUUCCAACUAAUUAGGCAACCACCUAAUAGCACACAAAAUCCAGUGACAGAUCUCCUAGUAUCAGGGAAGGCAUCCCAGUCACUAUCAGAAUAACCAACCACAGAGAAAUCAUCACAGGCAGAAUAAAAUAGACCCAUAGAAGGAGUGCCGUUAAGGUAUCUCAAAACAUGCAGGGCAGCAGUCAUAUGUGGAAGUCUGGAGCAUUUAAGGAAUUGACUCAGAUGUUGAACAGUAAAGCAUAUGUCAGGCCUAGUAUGAGUCAGAAACAACAUCUUACCAACAAGACUCCUGCACUGGUCAGGAGAGGAUAAAAGGUCACCAGAAUCAGCAUGAAGUUUGACAUUAAUGUCCAAAG